AACGCAUAUUGCGCUCUUUGGUAUUCCGAAGAGCAUGCUUGUUUGAGUAUCAGUAAACACCUCAAAGACUUCAAUUUGUUUUGAAUGGCUUUGGACUUGAGCAAUCCCAACACCAGUCUUUACGAUCGGCGGAGGGUUGCUUGAAAUGCAGGUGCAGCUGGACAUUCUCCUGAGCUAUAAGCAUAUUUAUUUAGUCCCGUCAAACGGAUUAUUACUUUUGCUGCAGCUAACAUAAAGGGAGUCUGACCGUAUUGGCUGACUGAUGCAGGAUUUCACAAGGGUCGGCAACGAUUCUUGUAAAACUCGAUCUCAAAUCAAGUAAGACUACCCGCUGAACUUAA
rnacentral:misc_RNA from 1 species